rnacentral:rRNA from 1 species
UAAAAUAGAAACUUAAUAUAAUUUUAAAUUAGUAAAAAUUUUUAUUUUUUUUUAAUAAAAAUAUUUUUUUUAGUUUAAGUAAAUAUAAUUGAAAAAAUAAAUUUAUAUUUAUAGUGUAAAGUAUUGAAAAAGAAAGUUGAAAUAAAUUGAAAAAUAAUUUUAAAAAAAGAAAAAUUUAUUUUUUGUUCCUUGUGUAUCAGGAUUAAUUAAAUUUAAAAUUUUUAAUAAAAAAUAAUUUAUAAUUUAAAAGAUUUAUAAGUUUUUAAUUUUUAUUAUGUAAAAAAUAUUGAUUAAAAAUUUAUUGAAAUGAGACGUUAAUCGUUUUUAAAGUUAUAUAAUUUUUAAAGAAAUAAAUUUAAUUUAGAAAUUAUAAUUUAUUAUAAGAAUAAUUAUUAAUUUUUAUAAUUUUAUAAUUUUAAUAUUUUAGGGGUUGAGCUUUAAAAUAAAAUUUUAAAAAUAAAGGUAUAAAAAUAAAAAAGAAAAUAAUCUUAAAAAUAGAUAUUUUUAAUUAAUUUGUUUUAAUUAAUUUUUUAUUUUUUAAUAUUUAUUAUUUUGUAAAUUUUAAUUUUUUAUUUAAAUGAUUAUUUUAAUAAAAUAAAAUGAUUUAAUAAUAAUUAAAUUAGUAAUUUUUAAAUUGUUUAAAAUAUAAUAAAAAAGUUAUUUUAAAAUUAUGAACUAGGCAAUAUUAUUUUUAACUGUUUAACAAAAACAUUGUUUUUUAAAAAUUUUAAAAAAUAAGACCUGCACACUGAAAAUUUUAAAGAGCCGCGGUAAUUUGACCGUGCAAAGGUAGCAUAAUCAUUAGUUUUUUAAUUGAAGACUGGGAUGAAAGGUUUAAUAAAAAAUAAGCUUUAUUAUUUUAAAAAUAAAUGAAUUUAUUAUUUUAGUAAAAAAACUAAAAUUUUGAUAAAAGACGAUAAGACCCUAUAAAGCUUUAUAAUAAAAAUUUAUAUAAUUUUUUUAGAAUAUUAUAAAUUUUAUUUAUUAAUUAUUUAAUUGGGGUGAUUUAAAGAUUUAUUUAACUCUUUAUAGAAUUUUUUUAAUAAUAGUUAAUAUAGAGAUCCUUAAAUUUUGGAUUUAAAAAUUAAGUUACUUUAGGGAUAACAGCGUAAUUUUUUUGGAGAGUUCAAAUCGAUAAAAGAGUUUGCGACCUCGAUGUUGGAUUAAGAUAUAAUUUUAGGUGUAGAAGUUUAAAUUUUUAGUCUGUUCGACUAUUUAUUCUUACAUGAUCUGAGUUCAAACCGGUUUAAGCCAGGUUGGUUUCUAUCUUUAUUUAAAUAUUAUAUUUUAGUACGAAAGGACCAAAUAUAAAAAUAUUUUUUUUUAAGUAUGAAUAAAAUUAAUAUAAAAAAGAAUUUAAUAAUAAAAUUUUUACAAUAAAGG